UACGAAGGGGGCUAGCGUUGUUCGGAAUUACUGGGCGUAAAGCGCGCGCAGGCGGCUAUCCAAGUCAGUGGUGAAAGCCCGGAGCUCAACUCCAGAACUGCCUUCGAUACUGGAGAGCUCGAGUCCGGGAGAGGUGAGUGGAACUGCGAGUGUAGAGGUGAAAUUCGUAGAUAUUCGCAAGAACACCAGUGGCGAAGGCGGCUCACUGGCCCGGUACUGACGCUGAGGUGCGAAAGCGUGGGGAGCAAACAGGG
rnacentral:rRNA from 1 species